rnacentral:SRP_RNA from 1 species
GCCAACGGCGGGUCGGGCGUCCGCGGGGAUCAGGCGAAUCGGCUGAUGACGAUGAUGGUCGGUCCAGGAUGGCCGCAGACCUCAGAGCACUGCCUGAAGGUGCACCCACUAAGCAGCGGCGACUUUGUGAGCUUCAGUAACUUCGGGAACAUCGUCAGGCUCGGA